CACAUCGACCCUCUCUGGAGCACUCGAGAGAGCUUCCGUUUAACAUUAAGAGGAGUGGUUCGGGAUCAAGAUGGAUGCUGACGGAACAUCUUGAUCAUUGUACCAAGAAAAAAGAAGGAAUCUUCGGACAUCAGCAGAACUAAUUGUAUUAAUCAACGGAUUUCGACGAAGAUCUUUAACAUUCUACCAAGAAAAAGAAGGAAUCUUUUGACAUCAGGAGGACUGGUUGCAUCCAUCGGUAGAUCCCUGUGUUCUCUUCCCAUGUUAUUAAUGUUAUGGUCUUUGCACCCUUUUGGUUUUUGGUAUUGUUCUUCAUCGUUGUCUAGAUCGCCUUAGGAACUGAUACAAAAAGUUCUGUGCAAAUGAUUCAAUAUUCUGAUUGUGUGUUUAGAUCUUGGCCACAACAUAAUGAUGCUUUAAAACCUUUAUCAUUGUUUACAUCACCUACUUUUUGGUUGACUUUGUUAUUAUUGCCUGUCAUCAUUGUUGCAAUAAUUUGUUUGUUCAUCUACUCUGCUUUCACAGAACAGGAUCCCACUUAAGCUCUGCCUACAACACAGUUGUUUUCUUAGGCUAGAAAUGUUGCUUUCUGGAUCAACGUAAGCAAUUAGUCGACGUACUAAAUGCAACCAUGCCAAUCUCAUUUAGAAAAUUUAAUGUUGUGUUUUAUUCUAGAUUCUGUAAUUAAUGGGAUAUGUAAAGUCUUCUCUUGUGGCCUUGGAACAUUGUCAGGGGACCAUUCUGUGAAUUAUUGCAGGAUCUCAAUCAUUGUUUUAGUAGACCAAAUCAACUAACUAAUAACCACCUUUUAUUUCUGCCUUCACUUUUCUUUUAUAAUCUCUCUUAGAACCUUAAUUGGAACAUAGUUUACUUCUAAUUGCUCCAAUAGAAGUACCUACAAGUUUAGAAGCUAAUGGUUAUUUGUUGUUUCCAUUGCUGGUCAUUGUGUUCUUUUCAACACAAUUUGUUGAUUAUGUAGACAAGGACUUGAGUUAGUGGUUUUUUUCUUCAUUGGCUAGAUUGGAAGUACAAUGCAAAUAGAAACUUGGAGAAGACACUAGAAUGGGAGUUAAUAGAAGCAUUUAUGAAAUUUGAUUUAGACAAAAGGGGAUAAGAAAAGAGGCAAUAGAAGAGAAAAUUACAUCAAAGGAGAUGAAAAGAAUGGAGAAAAGAGAGGAUAGAAGAAGAGAGAACGACAUAAAGUCCCCCACCACAACAGAGAGUAUUUCACUAAAAUCAUCAUUGCUUCUUUGUUAAUAGCUUAUUGACCACCCACAAGCUACUCAUAGACCACUGAGCAACUUUAAAGCAAUAUUCCCUCUCCUUCUAAUAGGACUUUGACGUACCUUUAAUACUUUAAAACCACACUUGUAAUCAACACAAAACACUAGAAACAAUAAAACUUUCUAGAGCUUGUGUAGUCCUAAGUCCUAACACAGUUCAAGCAUUAACAAAAUUUUUACUAUGUGGUCACCAAAUUACAACACUGACUUUGCUUCUAUAAUGUAAAGAUCUUUCUAAGAGAGUUUGAACAGAUCUUUCUAAUGAAUUUAAGAUCAUUGAAAAUAAAGAUCUAUGGUAAAACGUUCUGCCUCCAAUAAGCUUGGUGGUACAUACUUGAUUUCAUGAUAUUUAACCAUUCAUUCUAUAAAAGAUGUUUUUCUUCUGCAUUUCUUCAAUACAAAGGUUAUGAAUACAGGUCAGACAAAGUAUCAGUCUUAAUGUAUAAUUCGAUACUGGAAUAUAUAAAAUUCAUUUUUAAAUCAUUUUAUUCAGCUGGGCAUUGUGGGUUGGUAUACCUCCCAGUGAUGACGUUAUUGUAGUAAUUGGUUGAUGCACUUCAGUUAAGUGGUAAACAAAUUACAAUUUUUUUGCUGCUUUUUGAGUGUUUGUCAAGUCUAGAUUUGACUUUUGCUGCAUCAAUACGAAGCUCAAAUUUGACAACUUGUAAUUGAAGUCUUUUGUGUUUAGCAAAUUUUGAGCACCUCAGUGAAUACCUGCCUAUUGCUGUCUCCAGUAGGAUCAUGGCACAAUCUUUAAACCAUCACUAGAAUUGGAUAAAACUUCUCUCAUGUAUUGUCAAGUGGUAAUGCAUAAUUUAUUGAACUUAAUGAAGAAAGGAAGCUUCUGCCCAUCUGAAAGGGUAUGUGACAUUAAGAGUUCCACAUUAUGUACCUUGCCAGGUACAUCCUAAGUUCUGUUUAGUUGGAUAAAUCUGGUGAAAUUCCAAACAAGGGGAGAAAACCAUGACGGAGUGCAGUGGACCACAUUUUGUCAAUAUCCUGAGUUUUAUCUCCACAUUCAUGUGAAUCCCACCCUUCUAGCGCAUGCACUAUACCAGCAACACGAGAUGCACUCAUGACCCUUCUCGGUAGCCAAUUCU